rnacentral:rRNA from 1 species
UACGUAGGGUGCAAGCGUUGUCCGGAAUUAUUGGGCGUAAAGAGCUCGUAGGCGGUCUGUCGCGUCUGCUGUGAAAACUCGGGGCUUAACCCCGGGCCUGCAGUGGGUACGGGCAGACUAGAGUGCGGUAGGGGAGACUGGAAUUCCUGGUGUAGCGGUGAAAUGCGCAGAUAUCAGGAGGAACACCAGUGGCGAAGGCGGCUCACUGGCCCGGUACUGACGCUGAGGUGCGAAAGCGUGGGGAGCAAACAGG